GACGAACGCUGGCGGCGUGCCUAAUACAUGCAAGUCGAGCGAACCGACGAGGUGCUUGCACCUUUGACGUUAGCGGCGAACGGGUGAGUAACACGUAAGGAAUCUACCUAUAAGUGGGGGAUAACAUCCGGAAACGGGUGCUAAUACCGCAUAAUAACCGACACCACAUGGUGUAAGUUUGAAAGAUGGCUCUGCUGUCACUUAUAGAUGACCUUGCGGUGCAUUAGCUAGUUGGUGGGGUAAUAGCCUACCAAGGCCAUGAUGCAUAGCCGACCUGAGAGGGUGAUCGGCCACAUUGGGACUGAGACACGGCCCAA
rnacentral:rRNA from 1 species